rnacentral:rRNA from 1 species
ACCUACCGACGAAGGGGGCGACUUACCACGGUGAGAUUCAUGACUGGGGUG